rnacentral:rRNA from 1 species
GGCGGCCAAGGGGGAAACCUGAGCGCACGCCGCGUGGAGGAUGAAGGCCUUAGGAUUGUAAACUCCUCCUGUUAGAGAAGAUAAUGACGGUAUCUAACGAAUAAGCACCGGCUAACUCCGUGCCAGCAGCCGCGGUAAUACGGAGGGUGCAAGCGUUACUCGGAAUCACUGGGCGUAAAGAGCGCGUAGGCGGGAUAGUCAGUCAGGUGUGAAAUCCUAUGGCUUAACCAUAGAACUGCAUUUGAAACUACUAUUCUAGAGUGUGGGAGAGGUAGGUAGAAUUCUUGGUGUAGGGGUAAAAUCCGUAGAGAUCAAGAGGAAUACUGGGGGGGAAGGCGACCUGCUGGAACAUUACUGACGCUGAUUGCGCGAAAG